rnacentral:rRNA from 1 species
AGCUCCUCGAGUGGUAGGGAUAAUUAUUGGGCUUAAAGCGUCCGUAGCCGGCCUGAUAAGUCCCCCGUUAAAUCCAGCGACCUAAUCGUUGGCCUGCGGGGGAUACUGUCAAGCUAGGGGGCGGAAGAGGCCGAUGGUAUUUUUGGGGUAGGGGUGAAAUCCUAUAAUCCCAAGAGGACCACCAGUGGCGAAGGCGAUCGGCUAGUACGUGCUCGACGGUGAUGGACGAAAGCUGGGGGAGCGAACCGGAUUAGAUACCCGAGUAGUCC